rnacentral:rRNA from 1 species
AUUGAACGCUGGCGGCAUGCUUUACACAUGCAAGUCGAACGGCAGCAUAGGUGCUUGCACCUGAUGGCGAGUGGCGAACGGGUGAGUAAUAUAUCGGAACAUGUCCGGAAGUGGGGGAUAACGUAGCGAAAGUUACGCUAAUACCGCAUAUGCCCUGAGGGGGAAAGGAGGGGAUCGCAAGACCUUUCGCUUUCGGAGUGGCCGAUAUCGGAUUAGCUAGUAGGUGAGGUAAAGGCUCACCUAGGCGACGAUCCGGAGCUGGUCUGAGAGGACGACCAGCCACACUGGGACUGAGGCACGGCCCAGACUCGUACGGGAGGCAGCAGUGGGGAAUUUUGGACAAUGGGCGCAAGCCUGAUCCAGCCAGGCCGCGUGAGUGAAGAAGGCCUUCGGGUUGUAAAGCUCUUUCAGCCGGAAAGAAAUCGUACUUAUUAAUACUAAGUGCGGAUGACGGUACCGGAAGAAGAAGCACCGGCUAACUACGUGCCAGCAGCCGCCGUAAGAC